rnacentral:rRNA from 1 species
GAUGAACGCUAGCUACAGGCUUAACACAUGCAAGUCGAGGGGAAACGAUAGAGAAAGCUUGCUUUUUCUAGGCGUCGACCGGCGCACGGGUGAGUAACGCGUAUCCAACCUGCCCAUCACUUGGGGAUAACCUUGCGAAAGUAAGACUAAUACCCAAUGACGUCUCUAGAAGACAUCUGAAAGGGAUUAAAGAUUUAUCGGUGAUGGAUGGGGAUGCGUCUGAUUAGCUUGUUGGCGGGGUAACGGCCCACCAAGGCGACGAUCGGUAGGGGUUCUGAGAGGAAGGUCUCCCACAUUGGAACUGAGACACGGUCCAAACUCCUACGGGAGGCAGCAGUGAGGAAUAUUGGUCAAUGGACGAGAGUCUGAACCAGCCAAGUAGCGUGCAGGAUGACGGCCCUAUGGGUUGUAAACUGCUUUUAUAAGGGAAUAAAGUGGGAGUCGUGACUCUUUUUGCAUGUACCUUAUGAAUAAGGACCGGCUAAUUCCGUGCCAGCCGCCGCUGUAA